CACGUAGGGCGCGAGCGUUGUCCGGAAUUAUUGGGCGUAAAGAGCUCGUAGGCGGCCUGUUGCGUCCGCUGUGAAAGCCCGGGGCUUAACCCCGGGUCGGCAGUGGAUACGGGCAGGCUAGAGGUAGGUAGGGGAGAAUGGAAUUCCCGGUGUAGCGGUGAAAUGCGCAGAUAUCGGGAAGAACACCCGUGGCUAAGGCGGCUCUCUAGUACGGUACUGACGCUGAGACGCGAAAGCGUGGGGAGCGAACAGG
rnacentral:rRNA from 1 species